CACACCCAACAUGUCUCUAUCGAGAUGAUAUCACGCCACACUUUCUGUUGCUCGGCCGCCGUGAGGAAGGCCACUAGGAGAGGACAGCCGGCAGUUGGGGGAGAGGAGAAAGGAGAGAGAAAGAGGGAGGAGAGUACAAGAAGGAAGAGAGAGAGGGAGAGUAUAAGAGAGAGGGCGUCUAGUUUAGCUCGCCGCGGCGGCGGCGGGAAACAGACGUCCAGCAGUGCGAGGAAGGCCACUGGGAGAGAGUAGACGGUAGUGUGGAGCGAGAGGAGAAAGGAGAUAGAAAGAGGGAGGAGAGGAAGGAACAGAGAGAGGGAGAGUAGAAAAGAGAAGUCGUCUAGCCUAGCUCGCAGCGGCAGCAGAGGGAAAACAGCCGUCUAGAAACGGCGGCGAUCUCUCCCGUCACUUCUCCUCCUUCUCCGCCGUGCCACCUCUCGUCCCGUCUUCCCCUCCUCCGCCGCCGCGGCACCUCUCCCUCCCCUCGCCCCGCCGAUCCCAACCUCCCCUCCCCUAACCCACACGCACACCGCCCCCUCUGCUACCGAGCCCGCCUCCCCCCUCUACGUCCGGCCGAGCGAGCGAGCUUGAUAAAGCGAGCACACCACGCC
rnacentral:rRNA from 1 species